UGAGAACCCAAAAGAUCGAAUGAGGAGAUUCAUCGUCAGGAUAUUUAGUAUUAAUGCAAGUUAUGAUAUAGUAUGUAAUCCUUGUGGUUAAUUUUACUGUACAUUCUUGUAUUAUUUGCUGAAUAUGUCGGCGUGCACUUCUCCUCUAGUAGAACGUCGUGACCCGUUAGAUGUUGAUCUAUGGCCUAAAUGGUAGUCUCUGAAUAUUGCUUGCAAUUUUUGGAGACCUUUAGUGACCUGAUCAGCUGUUUGACGGUAUUCAUAUGAUAAUAAGCCGCUGUAUAGCGUUAAAUCCAUUGCAAGUGCGGUCAAUUAUUGGCAGUAUGGAUCUGAUGCCAUCGCUGAGAUUGACCAACUGUUGGUAAUGGUUUUCUUUAACUGGCUUUAUUUAUCGGUCAACGACGCUACUGCUUUGGGUACUUUCAGGACCCGUCUUGAAACA
rnacentral:rRNA from 1 species